rnacentral:rRNA from 1 species
AACGAACGCUGGCGGCAGGCCUAACACAUGCAAGUCGAGCGAUGACAUCGGUCCUAGCGGCUGACGGGUAAGUAACACGUGGUAACGUGCCCUUUGCUACGGAAUAGCUCUGGGCAACUGGGCGAAGUACCAGUGUAGCCCAUACCGGGUAUGAUGGAUCGGCGUAGGAUCGUCCCGCGUUAGCUUAGGUAGUUGGUGACGUAAUGGCCUACCAAGCAGACGUUGCAUAGCUGGCUUGAGAGGAUGGCCAGCCACGCUUGGGAUGAGACACGGACCAGACUCCUACGGAAGGGAGCAGUGGAGAAUCCUAGACAAGGGAGGAAGAUCUGAUAAAGCCAUGCGGGGUGAGAGAUGAAGGCCUUAGGGUUCUAAAGCUCUUUCAGCUGAGAAGAUAAUGACGGUACCAGCAGAAGAAGCCCCGGCUAACUACGUG